rnacentral:rRNA from 1 species
UACGUAGGUGACAAGCGUUGUCCGGAUUUACUGGGCGUAAAGGGCGCGCAGGCGGCUCUGAAAGUCAGAUGUGAAAGCCCCGGGCUUAACCUGGGAAUUGCAUUUGAUACUCUGGAGCUUGAGUGUGGGAGAGGAGAGUGGAAUUCCCAGUGUAGAGGUGAAAUUCGUAGAUAUUGGGAAGAACACCGGUGGCGAAGGCGGCUCUCUGGACCACAACUGACGCUGAGGCGCGAAAGCGUGGGGAGCAAACAGG